rnacentral:rRNA from 1 species
AAGUGGAUCGCUGAAUCUUGAUGCUGUGCACUGUAGUGGAUGAGUGGCGAACGGGUGAGUAAUACGUGAGUAACCUGCCCUUGACUCUGGGAUAAGCCUGGGAAACUGGGUCUAAUACUGGAUAUGACCUCCUGUCGCAUGGUGGGGGGUGGAAAGGGUUUGUACUGGUUGUGGAUGGGCUCACGGCCUAUCAGCUUGUUGGUGGGGUAAUGGCCUACCAAGGCGACGACGGGUAGCCGGCCUGAGAGGGUGACCGGCCACACUGGGACUGAGACACGGCCCAGACUCCUACGGGAGGCAGCAGUGGGGAAUAUUGCACAAUGGGCGCAAGCCUGAUGCAGCGACGCCGCGUGAGGGAUGACGGCCUUCGGGUUGUAAACCUCUUUCAGCACGGAAGAAGCGAAAGUGACGGUACGUGCAGAAGAAGCGCCGGCUAACUACGUGCCAGCAGCCGCGGUAAUACGUAGGGCGCAAGCGUUGUCCGGAAUUAUUGGGCGUAAAGAGCUCGUAGGCGGUUUGUCGCGUCUGCUGUGAAAGCCCGGGGCUUAACCCCGGGUGUGCAGUGGGUACGGGCAGACUUGAGUGCAGUAGGGGAGACUGGAACUCCUGGUGUAGCGGUGAAAUGCGCAGAUAUCAGGAAGAACACCGAUGGCGAAGGCAGGUCUCUGGGCUGUUACUGACGCUGAGGAGCGAAAGCAUGGGGAGCGAACAGGAUUAGAUACCCUGGUAGUCCAUGCCGUAAACGUUGGGCACUAGGUGUGGGGGACAUUCCACGUUUUCCGCGCCGUAGCUAACGCAUUAAGUGCCCCGCCUGGGGAGUACGGCCGCAAGGCUAAAACUCAAAGGAAUUGACGGGGGCCCGCACAAGCGGCGGAGCAUGCGGAUUAAUUCGAUGCAACGCGAAGAACCUUACCAAGGCUUGACAUACACCGGAUCGGCUCAGAGAUGAGUUUUCCUCCUUGUGGGGCUGGUGUACAGGUGGUGCAUGGUUGUCGUCAGCUCGUGUCGUGAGAUGUUGGGUUAAGUCCCGCAACGAGCGCAACCCUCGUUCUAUGUUGCCAGCACGUGAUGGUGGGGACUCAUAGGAGACUGCCGGG